UUUUUUUUUUUUUAUCUUCCAUGUCUCUUAACUUUUUGGACCUAUGGAAUAUAAUUAUAAUAACUUUUAAUAUCCUUACCUGCUAAUUUUACAUCUGCCAUUGCUCAGUUACGAUGGAUUAUUUUUUCUUCCUUAUGGAUCAAAUUUUCCUGCUUCUUACCAUACUGGUCUUUUUUUUUUUUUUUUGAUUCAGACAUGAAUUUUAACUUGCUGGGUGCUGGGUAUUUUGGUAUCCCUGUAAAUAUUCUUGAGUUUCAUCCUGGAACAUGAUUAAGUUACUUGGAAACAGUUUGAUUUUUAGGGUCUUGUUUUUAAGAUUUGCUCGGUGGGACUGGAGCAGCGUUCAUUCUAGAGCUAAUUUUUUCUCCACUACUGGGGCAAGACCCUUCUGAGGAUGGAAAGGCAGCCCUCUGCAGAUCUCCAGAUCUCUAUCUCUGCAACUCUCUCCUCUCUGGUAUUCUGUCCUGCAGAUGCCAGCUGCUUUGGUCUUUCUGUCAGCUCUGUCUCCUCAGUUCAGAACAUUCCCCAGGCCUUGCCUGGGUUCCUGCUCCCUUGUGCUGCAGCUGGACACUUUCUCUAGGCAGGAAGUUGAGCGGUCAGAGGGCUCACUUUGUUUCUCAUGUCUCAGGGAUCACUGUCCUUAGUUGCCUGAUGAUUAUUAGUGUCUCGAAAACUUCUUUUAUAUAUUUUGUCCAUUUUGGGGUUUCAGGCGUGUGGGUAAAUCCUGUCUUUAUUAUUUCACUUUGGCCAGAAGUCUUCAGAAUCCUCUCUCCGCAAAGUUAAGAUCUCCUAUUUUCCUUGCAGUGUCUUUCUAGCUCAUUAUCUAGUAUACACAAACUCACUAAGCAUUUGUUGAAUAAAUGAGCAUUUAUUGGUGAUCAUACUGCAAUAUUGAGGAGCUAUUGUGUCACUGGGUGAAAACAAAAAUGCCUUUCCAGGAUCCAUUCAUUCUUUAGUUUGGUUGAUUGGAAGUUGGUGUGCAUCUGGUCCAAAGGCAUAUCCCAAAGCCCCUCGGAUAUUAAAGUGGCCUCAUUGCCAUGUUUCUGUUCUGGAACAGGUAGCUUAUAAACCAACAAACAGCAAAAUUAGCUAGGGCCUUUCACCUCUGUAGAAAUGAAAUAAAUAAGAGCCAUCUCUGUUUCUUGUUAUUACACUUUUUAUAUGCUCAGCAAGGCUGCAAAAGCUAUGACUAAGAUAACUUUUUUUUUUUUUUUUGACUAAGAUAACUUUAACAUUUGUGGUAGCUGUAAUUGCUAUCAUAGCAAAAGAGAUGAGGACUAGUAAAGAAAGGGUCUGGCAAUGAAAUUUUUAACAUGGUUAACAGUAUCUCUUACUGAUUUUGUGACAAUAACAAGGGUCUUGGCAAGAUUUUCCCCUUUUUUCCCUCUUGGCACAAACAGUUUGGCUCAGUGCCAUGCAUAUAAAU